AAAGUGGAGAACAUUUAAAUGGAUAUUGUUUUAAACUGAAAUUCAAACCAGAAAGAAAACAAGUAACUUUUCAAAGCUAUCCUUUUUUUCACAUGAAACUGUUAACAUAAGCACAGUUUUAUUUCUCUAGGGGAAUUAUCUAGAAAAGGAAAGAAAGAGCCAAAAGCUCUUCCUCUCACAAGUAAAAUAUAAAUAUUUCACCUACACAUAUCAACAGAAUCUACACAUAUCACACACACAUAUAUGUAUAAAGGAAAUUUGUGCCUCACUGCUGGCUUUUUCUUAUUAAGUAGGAGUUUGUGUCUGUCGCUUAUUCAACAGCUGUUUAAUUAUUAUGCAAUCUGUUAAAUAUUUGAAAAUACUGCAUGAGAAAAUACCACCUAGCUGUGCUGCAUGCUCAGGCUGCUCGGUUCAGCUCCGCGUUAUCCGGUACCAGGACGGAUACCUGCAGCAGCGCAAGCGGAGUCACCCUGUAGCUACCGGGGCCGAGCGCUUGCAGCGCCGAGCCCCCCCGGGGUGGCAGCGGCGCGUGCGACACGGCAAUUCCAGAACGCGUCUGCCCCCCUGGCUGCCCCCGGCCUGCCCGGCGCCGGGGGAUGAGAACCGGGCCCAGGCGCCCGGCGGGCCUGAACGCUCCUCUUCGAGUUCGGGAGUCGCCGAGUGCAAAACAAUGAGAAAUUUCUUCCAGUGCCUGGUGAGGCGAUGAAACGUCGUGGGGUUGGAGCAGAGAGAAAUUGAACUGAGAGCAAUACGUUUUUUCUCCCCCCAGAAGCAAAUAGCUUUAGACAAGUGGCUUCACAGCACCUGAGAGCAGCACAUAGACGUAGAAAACACUAAUUUGAGGAAUCUUCCCUUCUGGGCAGCCUGCCUGCGCCCAUCCCCGCCGUGUGCUCCUGAACGCCGAGUAUAAGCAGAACGAAAUUAGACUCGGGUUUCACCUGGCCAAGUCGGCAUGCGUUAUGCAGUGCCUAGCUGACCAUAAAAUGGACGUUGGCUUGGAUUCUGGUCUAUUCGUGUCGCUGGUGCAAAGCUACGGUGCCGCCGCUGACUCCUCCUCGAGGGGUGAUGAAAUGGGAGCCUGGACCCCUGAAUGCCCUGGGGACCGAGCGCCAAACGGGCUAACGCGGCUAGGGCAGGAUCCUGCCCGUCCGCGCUUGCACAGCUGCAAGUUAAGUGCUAUCUGUUGUUUUUGUUUUUCCUGUUUUUAAAUCACUCUAUUGCCUUUGCGGAUUUUUCUGCAUUUCCAUUUGUAUUUCUGUGACCAUACACCCACUGCUCAAGCAUUUUACGGCUGAUAAAGUUAUUUCAGGUCAUGAGAUGCUUUGUGUGUCAGAUAACAUAUUCUGGUAAUUUCAGCAGGAUGGAAGGAUGGCAGUGUGAAUUGUUUGGUGGUAAAUUAAUUCGGAAUACAUUUGAAUAACAAUGUUACCUCUUUAUCGCAGAAAAGUCUAAUUAUUUGAUCUUGGCAUCCUCUUGAGAACCUCAUAUAGGAAAUUAAGAUCAAGCUGCAAACAGAAAAAAAUAGACCCUCAUUCAUCACAGGGGAAGGAGUACAGCCGACGUAAACAGACCUGCUUAGGGCUGCGGCUGCUUGCGCCAGCAGGACGGACGCUUUCUCCCGACUGUGUGCGCUGACCCGUUGACACCCUCACCCGGGCUGAAAUUCAGUAGAUUUACACAGAACUGAAGCGGGGAAGCAGCCUUGCGUGGACUUUCUGUGCACAGAUGAUUUCCCUGCGCUGCCCGUGAUGGCAGGAGCACUGCGUCUGGCACGUGGCUCUGCUCCGCAGGCGAUGCCUUCGCAAUAAAGGCUGCCUGUUACGGGUGUGCGUUGCCA
rnacentral:lncRNA from 1 species